rnacentral:rRNA from 1 species
AUACGUAGGGAGCGAGCGUUGUUCGGAAUUACUGGGUGUAAAGGGUGCGUAGGCGGGCGUGCAAGUCAGGUGUGAAAUCCAUGGGCUCAACCCAGGGGCUGCAUUUGAAACUGCAUUUCUUGAGGGAAGUAGAGGUAAGCGGAAUUUCUGGUGGAGCGGUGAAAUGCGUAGAUAUCUGGAGGAACACCGGUGGCGAAGGCGGCAUCCUGGACCACGACUGACGCUGAGGAGCGAAAGCCAGGGGAGCAAACGGGAUUAGAUACCCCGGUAGUCCUGGCCCUAAACGAUGAAUGCUUGGUGUGACGGGUAUCGAUCCCUGUCGUGCCGAAGCUAACGCAUUAAGCAUUCCGCCUGGGGAGUACGGUCGCAAGGCUGAAACUCAAAUGAAUUGACGG